UGUUGGCUGUGAUGAUAAUUAAUCAGCUUGAAAUGCCAGUUCUGCUUCUGAGAAUCUGUGAUUGAUAGAGCUGUUUUAUAAUCUGAGCCUCGA